GAAUUGACGGGGGCCCGCACAAGCAGCGGAGCAUGUGGCUUAAUUCGAAGCAACGCGAAGAACCUUACCAGGGCUUGACAUUCAGGUGAAGCGGCGGAAACGCCGUGGCCGAGAGGAGCCUGAACAGGUGGUGCAUGGCUGUCGUCAGCUCGUGUCGUGAGAUGUUGGGUUAAGUCCCGCAACGAGCGCAACCCUCGUCGCAUGUUGCCAGCGGUUCGGCCGGGCACCCAUGCGAGACCGCCGGCGUCAAGCCGGAGGAAGGUGGGGACGACGUCAAAUCAUCAUGCCCCUUAUGUCCUGGGCUACACACGUACUACAAUGACCGGCACAAUGGGCUGCCACUGCGCGAGCAGGAGCGAAUCCCCAAAGCCGGCCCCAGUUCGGAUUGGAGGCUGCAACCCGCCUCCAUGAAGUCGGAGUUGCUAGUAAUCGCGGAUCAGCACGCCGCGGUGAAUGCGUUCCCGGGCCUUGUACACACCG
rnacentral:rRNA from 1 species